CGGUGGGAUGGUGUAAUGGUAGCACGUGACGUUGUGGUAUAACAGUCUUCUGAUAUAACAUGCAAUCCCGUUUCAAUCUGGGUUCGAUUCCCAGUCCCGCCA
rnacentral:tRNA from 1 species